rnacentral:lncRNA from 1 species
AGUAGCAUUGGCUUCUUCAAUCAAUGAUGUUGGCUUACCACCCUUUGAAUUAGUGACCUUCUCCUCUUUACAUCUUUGUCAUCUGCCUUCGUGUUCGAUGGUUCUCUAUCCAAACGCACCAUCAAAUCUUCAUUCAAUAAACUCAAUUUCCAUAUCUGAGACUCACGUUGGCAAUUUGGUUGUCACGCUCCUCCAACAUCUUCUGCCAUUCUUUUGUCAGUUUCAAAGGUAUCUCCAAAGGUAUUAUCACUGAAACUGGCGUAUUGGUCUAUAUUAAAUUAUUGGCCUCCUUCACUAAUGCUGCUAGUUGAGACUGCAACAUUGCAA